rnacentral:tRNA from 1 species
UCUCUGGUGGUCCAAUGGUGAAGACUCUGUGCUCUCACUGACAAGGACCCAGGUUCAAUCCCUGGUCAGGGAA